rnacentral:tRNA from 1 species
CGCGGGGUGGAGCAGCAGCAGCUCGCCUGGCUCAUAACCAGGAGGCCGGGGGUGCAAUUCCCCCCCCCGCAA